CAAGAACGCAUCAAUUGAUUGAACAUAUCCAUAUCAAGACAUCCAAGUUAAUUUCUGCAUGAAGGAAUUAGGCAUCACCUCUACAUGGGAAUCACCAUAAUUUCAGUCCAGUGGGUCAAAUCUAGUAGCUAAAUAAUGAAGUUGCAUACUCUUCUAGAGAUAUAGUUUGCUGAACAGCCAUUGAAAAUGUAUUUGAACCAUCAACUACUAAUCAGCUAAAAAUUUGUACGUACAUUGCUUCUUCUGUGGCAUAACAUGAACUUACUUCCUUUACUAAUGAGUAGUAGAAAAUCACAAAGUAAUCCUUAGUCCUACCCGAUUUCAAAUUUGAAGGCUACAAGAUAAACCAGCAGCAACGAGUCAGUAAGAUGGCAGCUACCCGAUUUCAAAAUUUUAAAAUAAAUCCUAGCUUGAACAUGCAAACACACACAAAUAAAGUUUCAGGAGAAACAAUAACAACAACCCAGUAUAAUCCCACUUAGUGGGGUCUGGAGAGAGUAGUGUGUACGCAGACCUUACCCCUACCCUGGGAUAGAGAGGCUGUUUCCAAAUAGACUCCCGACAUCCUUCCCUCCGAGAACUUCCCACCUUGCUCUUGGGGAGACUCGAACUCACAACCUCCCGGUUGGAAGUGGGGGUUGCUUACCAUCAGAGCAAGCCCUCUUGUCUUAAAGUUUCAGCAGAAAGUUCAUGAAAUAAUCCUCCGAAUUGCAUUAUAAUCUUGAGGCAGAACAUAGCGAACCCAUGGACUUGACAUCGGAUGGCUAAUAUUCAUAUUCAUAUUCAUUCUCAAUCCUUUUACACGAGAAAACAACCAACAAUUGUUCCAUAAAUUCACGACAUGGAUUCGAAAAGCAGAUAAUAGAACUAACACUAACCUAAACCUGCUAAAUGGCAGAUUCAAACCAACAGAAGCCUAAAUGAGCAACAACGAGAUACAAAAUCAGAAAUUCCAGCAUACUCUAUUAUGUUUUGGGAGUGUUUUCAACUCAAAAAGGUAGCAUAAAUGGACCUGAACCAACGGCAAACGAGUUUAGAACUCGACUAGGAACAAAACAGACAUUGAGUUUCCAGAUUCAAAUUAAACCAUGGUGGAAUACCAACACAGACAAACAUAGAAUCACGAGCGAUAAUGAAGAGAAUAAGAGAUGAACCUGAGUUGCAAGAACUUAGAUUAACUCUGUCCUGAACCCAAUACAAGUGAAUUUGAUAAUAAAAACUCGAAAGAACAUCAACUACAAUGAGUUAGGAUGCAAGAACUACGGACUCGAACUAGAACACGAACGGUCAACUCGAUCUCAACUCAGUCCAUCUCCAUUUUUGAAGGGAAUCAAAGAAAGAUAAUGAAAACGUUUUUUUCUUCUGAUGUCGAAACAGAACCAAGAAACAAAAACAAAAGAAACUGAAAUUUCUGAACCUUUUCGCCGGAAUCGAAAUUAAAAUGCCAAAAAAUUAAUGAAAACUAAGUAAUUUCUCAAACUUUUCUUUCCAUAGCCCAGACUCCAAAAAAUUUUCUCUACCCUCUCAAAAUCGGAUCUGGUCCUGUUUGAAAACGAGCCCCUGAUGAAUAUUUGGGGCUCGGAUUGAGCGAAAUCAAUCCAACACCUCACACUCAUCCAACAAAUCGUUCUCAAAACCUUCAAAUCAUGAGAUGUAUGUCAAAUUCGAGCGAGUGAGAAGAGGGGGGAACCUUGGCGUCAGAAACCGUUAGAAACGGCAAGAGGAGGGAUGGAAGGACGCGUUGGUUAGGGAUUUGGAAUCACUUGCCAUAGAUUUAACGAGUUGAAACGCCGCUUUGUGAAGUACACGAUGAACAGUGCGCGUGGAGUUAGGCAUUUAGAUUUUGGAUCUCUGUGUGUCUUGUGUGUGUUUUUGUGGAGAGUGGGUCAGCUUUAGGGGUUUAGGCUUGGGUUGGAACGAGUUUGGGGUGAGUUUGGUUGGGUUUCAGAGAAAAAUCG
rnacentral:lncRNA from 1 species